UACCGCGUGUGUGAAGAAGGCCUUAGGGUUGUAAAGCACUUUCAAUUGGGAGGAAAACCUACCGGUCAAUACCCGGUAGCUUGACAUUACCUUUAGAAGAAGCACCGGCUAACUCCGUGCCAGCAGCCGCGGUAAUACGGAGGGUGCGAGCGUUAAUCGGAAUUACUGGGCGUAAAGCGUGCGUAGGCGGUUCGUUAAGUCAGAUGUGAAAGCCCUGGGCUCAACCUGGGAACUGCAUUUGAAACUGGCGGACUAGAGUUUAGUAGAGGGGAGUGGAAUUUCAGGUGUAGCGGUGAAAUGCGUAGAUAUCUGAAGGAACACCAGUGGCGAAGGCGACUCCCUGGACUAGAACUGACGCUGAGGUACGAAAGCGUGGGUAGCAAACAGGAUUAGAUACCCUGGUAGUCCACGCCGUAAACGAUGUCAACUAGCCGUUGGGCCUAUAUACAGGUUUAGUGGCGCAGCUAACGCAUUAAGUUGACCGCCUGGGGAGUACGGCCGCAAGGUUAAAACUCAAAUGAAUUGACGGGGGCCCGCACAAGCGGUGGAGCAUGUGGUUUAAUUCGAUGCAACGCGAAGAACCUUACCUACCCUUGACAUCCAGAGAAUCUGUUAGAGAUA
rnacentral:rRNA from 1 species